rnacentral:rRNA from 1 species
UACGGGGGGAGCAAGCGUUGUUCGGAUUUACUGGGCGUAAAGGGCGCGUAGGCGGUCGUGACAAGUCACUUGUGAAAUCUCCGGGCUUAACUCGGAACGGUCAAGUGAUACUGUCGGACUAGAGUACAGAAGGGGCAACUGGAAUUCUCGGUGUAGCGGUGAAAUGCGCAGAUAUCGGGAGGAACACCUAUGGCGAAGGCAGCUCGCUGGGACGUUACUGACGCUGAGACGCGAAAGCGUGGGGAGCAAACAGG